rnacentral:tRNA from 1 species
GCCCGGUUAGUUAAACGGUAUAACGGCUGAAUCGUAAUCAGCAGUUAUCGGUUCAAUUCCGGUACUGGGCU